rnacentral:rRNA from 1 species
AUUGAACGCUGGCGGCAUGCCUCACACAUGCAAGUCGAACGGCAGCACGGGAGCAAUCCUGGUGGCGAGUGGCGAACGGGUGAGUAAAGUAUCGGAACGUGCCCAGUCGUGGGGGAUAACGUAGCGAAAGUUACGCUAAUACCGCAUACGAUCUAUGGAUGAAAGCGGGGGAUCGUAAGACCUCGCGCGAUUGGAGCGGCCGAUAUCAGUCUAGGUAGUUGGUGGGGUAAAGGCUCACCAAGCCGACGAUCUGUAGCUGGUCUGAGAGGACGACCAGCCACGCUGGGACUAAGACACAGCGCAGACUCCUACGGGAGGCAGCAGUGGUGAAUUGUGGAUAAUGAGCGAAAGCCUGAUCCAGCCAUGCCGCGUGCAGGAUGAAGGCUUUCGGGUUGUAAACUGCUUUUGUACGGAACGAAAAGGUUUGGCAUAAUAAGCUGAGCUCAUGACGGUACCGUAAGAAUAAGCACCGGCUAACUACGUGCCAGCCGCCGCCGUAA